GAGCAGCAAGAUAGUACAAAAAAUAUGUGUGUGCGUGUGUGUUAUUAUUUUUUUGCAUAACAAAAUUACAGCAGCGCGGAAGCAGCCCCUGACUUUUCGUACCAGGCGGAUGGCACAUUUCAUUUGGCAAAGAAAAUUGCGAUUAGGGGCUAUGGUGCAAGCAAUUUUUUUGAAAAAUGAGAAAUCCGACACUCGUCUUAAGAGACAUUGCAUAGUAGAUUUUCGGUCAGGACAAGAAAAGUGUGACGGGUAUGGUUGUGCCAAGAAGAAAAGCCAAGCAGAGGUACCUAAAGACCUCCUGACCCCUGAGGAAGUUGCCGUCAUAGCAGCCAAUGUGAAGCAAGGGGAUGCGAAAACGGGAGAAGACGUACAGGAGACAUUAAGCAACAUGAACAGCCUCCUGAACAAGAAAAUUCAGGAUUUCCUAAAAUCCACUUGGCGAAUGUGCCAAUAAAGCCUAGUAGACGAGA